rnacentral:lncRNA from 1 species
AGGAAAGGCGAGGCUCUGCAUCUAGAUUUACCUCGUUCUCUUUUGUCUCCGCUUUUUUUUCACAUUUCCUUGCGACCCUGGCCCUUGAGCGACAAAAAGGGGAAGCCAAGGCUGGCCCGAGGAACGGAGAGGGCACAUGGCCUAGCCACAAGUGGAGCUUCUGCUCCGCCCGAAGGGAUGCGCUGGAGCGGCCUCUUCCUUCUGCCACGGUCUUUCUUUGCCAACUAGUAGGUGAGGGCCGAAAGGCCGCGGGCCGUGGAGCUCGGGCCGGGGAGACUCUUUUCUAGCCUCUUGGGUCCCGCUCCUCCCAAUUCCCUGGAGAGGCGUCGAGCUUGCUGGGAAGUGCCCUCGGGUAAGGGGCGCGGAGCCUCCUGCGGCGAUCCUCUGUCUUCGGGUCGCCUUAGCAGGACGCGGCAAGCGGGACACUGACCUGGCCGGAGUCCCGCGUUCUCUCACCAGCUGCUUUGUCCACGAGUUGCUGCUGGGCGUCAGGGGUCCCACGGCCCGGAGGGAUCUAGAGCAGGGGGGCUCGGGGUCCUUUCCAUACCCUCGGAUCCUCUCCCACUCUCUCCACGCCUCGACCCGGAGAUGAUUUCAGGCUCCAGAUCUCUUUCAUAAAUGGAAAGAGUUUUUUUGGUUUGUUUUGUCUUAAUUAUGUAGGUGUUGCAUGCUUGGAAGAGAAAAUUUAGAAAAUUAAUUGGAAAACCAUAAAGAUAGCUUUCUCGUGAUAGCCACAAGGCUUGCUCCCUCAUUCUGCUCAUAUGUCACCCCCUCAAGGAGGCCUUCCCCAGCUCUGUAAACAACCUGUGCUCGGCGUUAACUUUUCUCCCUAAUGUUUAUCACUACCUGACAUAUACGUGUUUCCCACGACUCAACGAUAAGUGUUCAUGAGGGCAGACACUUUUUAAUGCCCUAUGACAAGCACCUAGAAUUGUGCCUGGCACAUGGUAGAUGCUUAGUAAAUAUUUGUUUAAUGAAUGAAGGUAAAAAACAUUUCUAAUACGACCAUCCAGGAAUAAGUACUAUUCAUGUUUUAGUGUGUUCUUACAGUUUUACUGUUCAGACAGUUAUAUGCCUGUGAAUAUAUAUUAUAUAUGUGUGUAUAUAUAUAUAUAUAUAUAUAUAUAUAUUUUUUUUUUUUUUUUGAGACAGAGUCUCGCUCUGUCACCCAGGCUGGACUGCAGUGGCGCGAUCUUGGCUCACUGCAACCUCCGCCUCCUGGAUUCAAGCGAUUCUUCUGCCUCAGCCUCCCGAGUAGCUAGGAUUACAGGCAUGUGUCACCACGCCCGGCUAAUUUUGUAUUUUUAGUAGAGACGGGGUUUCUCCGUGUUGGUCAGGCUGGUCUCGAACUCCUGACCUCAGGUGAUCUGCCCGCCUCGGCCUCCCAAAGUGCUGAGAUUACAGACGUGAGCCACCGUGCCUGGCGGAAUUUUCAUAUUUUAAGUCCCCCACCCUUGGACAUUUAGAUUUUUUCCAUCUUUCUGUAUUUGCAGAUAUGCUUCUACGUACACCUUUAUUCAUUUGCUUGAACAUUUCCCUGAGAAAAACUAGAAAUGGAAUUGCCAGAUUACUUUGUGUACAUGUUUCCAAACUGUCCUCCAGAAAGAAUGUAAUGCUUUGAACUUCCACUUGAGAAUCAAAUGUUUACCUUCCUCUGUUCCUCCAGAUUUGGACAUUUACAGUGUUCAGCCGUUGUUGUGGCAUUCCAAUUCAAUUGGGAAACAGCUUGAUGUAGCGUCCCCAUAAGGUCCACAGUAAUUAAAUUUUUUUUUUUUUUUUUUGGUGCGGUAGUGCAAUUUCAUGGCUCACUGCAACCUCCACCUCCCAGGUUCAAGCGAUCCUCCCAUCUCAGCCUCCCUAGUAGCUGGGAUUACAGGUGCACGCCACCACACCAGGCUAAUUUUUGUAUUUUUAGUAGAGAUGGGGUUUCACCAGGUUAGCCAGGCUGGUCUUGAACUCCAGACCUCAAGGGAUCCGCCUGCCUCAGCUUUCCAAAGUGCUGGGAUUACAGGUGGAGACUGGACCUCAGAAGAGGGAGUGGGUGCCCCGAGAACUCACAGCUAGCGGACAGUGGAAAGGGCAGGAGCCGGACCAAGUGUUCAUCCAUCGCCCUGUAUUAGCGAAGAACAACAUCAAGCUGGCUAGCAAGGAACUGUAUACAGGGUCCAGCUGGGUAUCACACUGGAUCUCACCCAAAGCUUAGAUGUGAUCCAGCUCAGUAUCACAAAGCAGAACGAAAAGGAUGUGUUUGGGCUGAGAGGCCAUACAUUGGCUCCGGCAUGACGGGUGACUUCUUCCGAGUCUGGCUUCUGCAGCACACAGGGCUUCGCCAGCACCCAGCUCCUGCAGCAUGGGCAGCUCCUGUGACAGCAGGCGCCCGCAGCCUGCAAAGCGUCUCCAGUGCCGCCGCCUCAGUGAACCUCAACCAGCGGCACCUAGCAGCUUUCUCUGCCACCCUCUUCAGGUCUGGAUCUAAGCCCAGGGACCAGGAAACCUCUUGCUUGAGUGCUGGAACUCAGGCCAGAAGGCAGGAAGCCCGCCUGACCCCAUGUCUCAGGCUGCCAGAGGAGCGUGCGAUGAGGAAGGCUGGACUGUCUUCACAGGACACCAGGGAGAAGCCUCAAGCCACUGCCCCCUGACAAGUCGCAGCUCUCCAGCCUGUCUCCUCACUCCCCUCCCCUCCACAUGGGGGGGUUGGGGUGGGGGCGGGGAAGGUUCGGGGCAGGGGUCAUUUCAGCUACUGGGCACCAGUCUCCUCCUCAUGUUUAUCCUGUUCCCUUUGCUUGAAAGGUUCGUACUCCAGAUCCUUGUAAAACCGCUUCUCACCCUUUGAGUCUCAGCUUAAAUGUCCCCUCCUUGGAGGGGUCUUCCCUGACAAUGAAGCUCCGACCGUCCUCUCCUGUUUUACCCAGUUCAUUUCUUUCUGGCAUUUGUAACUACUUGAAGUUAAAGUGUGUGCCAUGUAUGUGUCUGUCAGUUUCCCCCACCACACUGGAACCCCAUGAGGGCAAGGGUCUUGUCUGGAAUCUUCCUCACUUACAACUCAACAUUUAGCAAAGGACCUUUGCUAAAUUAACAGGCAUUCAUUUUGUAUUUGAAAAAUGAACUAGUGAGGCCGGGCGUGGUGGCUCACACCUGCAAUCCCGGCACUUUGGGAGACCGAGGCGGGCUUGAGGUCAGGAGUUCGAGACCGGCCUGGCCAACAUGGUGAAACCCCAUUAAAAAUACAAAAAUUGGCUGGGCGCGGUGGCUCACGCCUGUAAUCCCAACACUUCGGGAGGCUGAAGCGGGCGGAUCACGAGGUUAGGAGUUCAAGACCAGCCUGACCAACAUAGUGAAACCCCAUCUCUACUAAAAAUACAAAAAUUAGCCGGGCAUGAUGGCAGGCGCCUGUAAUCCCAGCUACUCGGGAGGCUGAGGCGGAAGAAUCGCUUGAACCAGGAGGUGGAGAUUGCCGUGAGCUGAGAUCACGCCACUACACUCCAGCCUGGGCAACAGAGCACGAAUCCAUCUCCGAAAAACAAACAAAAAAACGAAUGUGUGAGGAACGCAGCAAAGCCCCUACAGUUAACGUUUGCCGCCCUCUGCCCCUCAG